rnacentral:rRNA from 1 species
AUUGAACGCUGGCGGCAGGCCUAACACAUGCAAGUCGAGCGAGCGGCGGACGGGUGAGUAAUGUCUGGGAAACUGCCUGAUGGAGGGGGAUAACUACUGGAAACGGUAGCUAAUACCGCAUACCAUCAGAUGUGCCCAGGUGGGAUUAGCUAGUAGGUGGGGUAAUGGCUCACCUAGGCGACGAUCCCUAGCUGGGCUGCGAGGAUGACCAGCAACACGGGAACUGAGACAGGGUCCAGACUCCUACGUGAGUCAGCAGUGGGGAAUAUUGCACAAUGGGCGCAAGCCUGAUGCAGCCAUGCCGCGUGUGUGAAGAAGGCCUGCGGGUUGUAAAGCACGUUCAGCGGGGAGGCGUUACCCGCAGAAGAAGCACCGGCUAACUCCGUGCCAGCAGCCGCGGUAAUUC